CAGUCGCCGCGGUAAUACGUAGGUGGCAAGCGUUGUCCGGAAUUAUUGGGCGUAAAGCGCGCGCAGGCGGAUCAGUCAGUCUGUCUUAAAAGUUCGGGGCUUAACCCCGUGAGGGGAUGGAAACUGCUGAUCUAGAGUAUCGGAGAGGAAAGUGGAAUUCCUAGUGUAGCGGUGAAAUGCGUAGAUAUUAGGAAGAACACCAGUGGCGAAGGCGACUUUCUGGACGAAAACUGACGCUGAGGCGCGAAAGCCAGGGGAGCAAACAGGAUUAGAUACCCCCGUAGUCCCUGUCUCUUAUACA
rnacentral:rRNA from 1 species